GGAAACAUGAUCAUAACAGCUCACUGUAGUGGUUAUAGUGCAGAGGUAUUUCCCUGUGUUGAUAAUCUAUGCUACAAGCCAAUCCACGUAACACAUUUCCAUGUUAAUGCCAUAAACCUCUCACAAAAGUUAUAGUCCCCCAAGCAAUUAUCCAGCAUCAUUUUGCCCUAGUAUUGUCACAUUGUCCAUAAUAUCUUUGUACCCAUAUGUGUCAC